UAUCCUAAAAACUUAACCAUGUUUAAGUAAUUAAUUAAAUAUAGUUAUCACUAAUUUGACUAAGAUUUAGAUUUUCUUUUAUUAUGUUAAACAUAAAUUACUAGACUUUGUAAAAAGGGGGUAAUCCUAUUCUUUUGUUUAACCAGAAAAUAUUAGACUUAUAUUUAACCAUCACCCAACUUGGUGGUUGAAAGUUAAAAAAAAAAAAAAAAAAAAAAAAAAAAAUGACUAUUUGCUGAUUUCAUAAAUUAAAAGAAAAAUAAAAGUAUUAUAUAAAACUGACAAAGUUGACUGCCUUCUUCCUCCUCCUUCAAUUCCUUCAUUUUCAUGGCAAACACAUGGCACACAUGCAAUCACCCUCUCUUCUUCUUCUUCAGUCAAAAUCUGUCACCAAUCCUCACCAUUGCUUCUUCAAGUUGACAAAUUCAGAUUAUUUACUUCACCAUCUUCCUCCCAACCACUGAUUUUAACUCCAAAUUUCCCUAUAAAUAGUCAUGGAUACAACACCAAGAACACACCAACAACAACCUUCAUCAUCUCUUCUCUCUAAUCAGAAAUUCGGUCAAUAAUUGCCGGAAAAAUUGCAACUAAAAGAAACACAAAAGAAAACCCCAAAUUUUUACAACUCUCUUCUGUUUCGGUCCCCCCUCAACGAAACACUCCCGUCGGCCACCGCGCGACGCCGGUCUCGCGCCACGCUCAGUCGCCCCCUCUCACCUCGCCGUCUCUCGCCGGCCGCCUCGCACGUCACUCGCCGGAGAUCCGCGGCGCCAGCACUCACGCACACACUCUCUCUCCUCCUCGCGUCCUCUCUCUCGCUCUUCUCCUUCGCGGAUUGCUGUACCGCGCAAGCACCGGCGAACUCCGUACGCCACCGUUGCUGCACGCCGCCGACGUUUCUCGCCGCCGCCGCUGCUCGACCGUCGUCCACCGGAGCCGGAACCCUCCGCCUCGAUCUCCGUCGUCCCUGCUCUAAGAAGCAGAGAUUAAAGAAGAUAAAGGAUAUUACAAGCCUCCCCGGCUAUCAUGGUUGGUAAGCAGGAAUUCAGGUAUGGAAGAACAGAUAUGGAUCACUAUUAUACUGCGUUAUGGAGAUUUUGUAUGAUUCUAUGAGGUUUUAAGAUACUUUGUAUAGUGAAUAAACAAGUAUUAUCUUGCGAUGAGUAAUUGUAUAGUGAAUUUUCAAUUUUAGGCUACUAUUUUAUUUGUGGGCCAUAACCCACAGGAUUAAGUUAUGCUUCCGCU